rnacentral:snRNA from 1 species
UCCCGGGUAAAUGGAGAACUUAGA